rnacentral:rRNA from 1 species
AUUGAACGCUGGCGGCAUGCCUUACACAUGCAAGUCGAACGGUAACGCGGGGCAACCUGGCGACGAGUGGCGAACGGGUGAGUAAUGCAUCGGAACGUGCCCAGUAGUGGGGGAUAGCCCGGCGAAAGCCGGAUUAAUACCGCAUACGACCUACGGGUGAAAGGGGGGGAUCGCAAGACCUCUCGCUAUUGGAGCGGCCGAUGUCAGAUUAGGUAGUUGGUGGGGUAAAGGCCUACCAAGCCGACGAGCUGUAGCUGGUCUGAGAGGACGACCAGCCACACCGGGAGUGGGACACGGCCCAGACUCCUACGGGAGGAAGCCGGGGGGAAUUUUGGACAAUGGGCGCAAGCCUGAUCCAGCCAUGCCGCGUGCGGGAAGAAGGCCUUCGGGUUGUAAACCGCUUUUGUCAGGGAAGAAACGCGCUGAGCUAAUACCUCGGCGUAAUGACGGUACCUGAAGAAUAAGCACCGGCUAACUACGUGCCAGCCGCCGCCGUAA